GCGAGAGUGGUGGAACUGGUAGACACGCUAGACUUAGGAUCUAGUGCCUUCGGGUGUAAGGGUUCGAAUCCCUUCUCUCGCA
rnacentral:tRNA from 2 species